rnacentral:tRNA from 1 species
AAAAGCUUUAUAGUUAAAUUAUAUAAUAUAAAAUUGCAAAUUUUAAGAUGNAAAAAAAAAUUCUAAGGCUU